CAGGUGUGUGGAAAGAGACUUUCAAUAACUCCUAUUUUCCUUGUAAGAGGAUCGACAGCAUGCACCCAAACAGUUUCUCUUGUCACAACACAGGUCAAAUGAUGUCAAGGUGACAUCCCUAGUUGUGGAAUUGACUGUGGGAAAAUGAGUACCUCAGCCCAGACUCCUGUGUUUCUGCCUCAUGGUUCUGCUCACUCGUCGGCCUUGAACUCUAAGCCCUGCCUAGGCCAGAAACACCAGCAAAGGGGCAAGGCAGAUUUCCUCAGUUUGCUGGCUUAUUAUGCUUUUGACUACACGCUGAAGUAACUGACAAGCAAAACGAUUUGUCAGACGGGGUCUUGUCCUGUUGUGCGGUGGGAGGGGGUCAGCGUAGCUUCCCCAGUGACCUACUUUCAGGAACAAAUGCAGAUUGUGCAGUUUCCAUUCAGGCAUAAAUUGAGGGAGGCCUGAGCAAAUGAGAGGUUCGGUGAAUGUAUCUUCCUAGCUUCUAAUCGCUAAUAUUCUAGCAUGAUAUAAGCCACACAUCAACCCAAAUAAGAUUCCUUAGAAGUCGGGGUUUCCUUUUGCAAAGCCUCAAGAAUCAAAUGAAGAACAAUACAGAUGACAAAUUAUAAGAUGGCAACUUUCCAUAAAAGUUGCAAAUUCUUAGAAAGUGAAGAAGUAAAUGGCAAAAGUAAAAACAAGCCUUAAACUGCAAUCUUUUUUCUGCUUAUGUAGGUGGAAGCUCCAUUAAACAAGCCUGAUUUUGAGUGACAUGACUACUAGACUGCCCUGCUAGUUACUUUAAGAUGAGAAGUGAGCAAAGGCAGCUUGAUACUUGAGUGUGAUCAAUAGGACAAGUUUUUUUUAUUUUGGUUUGGUUUUGGUUUUAAAUACCAAAGGGCUAUUUUCUUCCAUUUCUUAAUCCAAGUGGGAAAGGCUUCCCAUCUUCCAGUUAUUGUAGGCCUAUACCCUUCUUUUCCCUGACCACAAUAUGUUGGCAGAGACUAACAUCAUCCAGAAGACUUUUGUCAUAAUGGCUCAGUUUAUGUGACACAAUUGCCAACCUGAACAAAUGGCAUUUUAUUAUUUCCUUCUUAGCAGUUUUGUGAUGUUUUUGUUUCUUAUUCUGUUACUGUGGGAAAGAAUGUGAGGCAGGAAGAAAUGUGGAAGUUAAGUAGACCUGUUGGAAGGAUGGAACAGGGAAGCAACCUCGGAUUGCUUGGUAACAGGAAAAUAUUCCGCUUCACUAUCACUGACAGCCUCCCUCCGCAAUCAGCUUCAUAGCUGGACCUCUCAGAAAUGUUCACCAAACAGCUUGGGGAGCUUCACAUUAAAUCAGGCAAGUUGCCAGAUCGGAGACAGCCAACAGCUGUUUGGCAGGCGGAGGGAAGGAGGGGCUGCCAAGGUUUUGAGACAGUGGACUCGCCUGCCUUAUCACUCAGCUCCUUGUUUCAACUGAUGCAUGCUCCCGUUUAAUGUGCUCCAUAAAGUGGGCCAGAUGACCUGCCUGUCAGAACAGACCACCUCCCCAAGCCUCCUUCCUGUACCUACAUCACUGUUGUAAUUGGUGGCAGAUGGUUUCCCACUGGCUGGUGACAUUCCUAAUGAGGGAGGACAGCAAAACCAACAGCUUUGCUUGACGCCGUCCUUCACAUAUUAACUCAGGACCACCACCAUUUGGUGGCAAGCCAAAACAGCAACAAUGGGGACGGCACAUAUUAUGCUGGUAGUUUCCCCCCCCCAAAUCAAGAACAGGUUUGCAUUUUUACUCAGCAGCAGAAAUAGGCAAGCCCUUGGAGUCUGCUGCAAUGCACUGGAGGGAGAUGAUUUUCACAAUUACUUUGGAGCCCUAAAAGUUCUUGCUUCUUCUGGAGAACUAUAUUACCAAUUCCCCCACCUCACACCCAUUUUUCUACCUGUAGGUCAUCCUUUCAUGAAACAUCUGAAAAAUUACUGCUAGGAACACCACUCUUAAAAACCAGAUGGAGGACACCACUAGAAUCUUGAUUGGAAUGGAGAUGCCGACCUGACAUAAGCAUAUUUAAUUGAGAGC